rnacentral:snoRNA from 1 species
AUGAUGAUGACAAGCAUUUGGUUGACGAGUCUGAGCCAAUCUGAAGCACAACGAUGGUGUCUGAUU